rnacentral:rRNA from 1 species
GACGAACGCUGGCGGCGUGCUUAACACAUGCAAGUCGAACGGUGAAGCUCCAGCUUGCUGGCGUGGAUCAGUGGCGAACGGGUGAGUAACACGUGAGCAACCUGCCCCAGACUCUGGAAUAAGCGCUGGAAACGGCGUCUAAUACUGGAUACGAGAUCAAGCCGCAUGGUUAUGGUCUGGAAAGUUUUUCGGUUUGGGAUGGGCUCGCGGCCUAUCAGCUUGUUGGUGAGGUAAUGGCUCACCAAGGCGACGACGGGUAGCCGGCCUGAGAGGGCGACCGGCCACACUGGGACUGAGACACGGCCCAGACUCCUACGGGAGGCAGCAGUGGGGAAUAUUGCACAAUGGGCGAAAGCCUGAUGCAGCGACGCCGCGUGAGGGAUGACGGCCUUCGGGUUGUAAACCUCUUUCAGCAGGGAAGAAGCGAAAGUGACGGUACCUGCAGAAGAAGCACCGGCUAACUACGUG